rnacentral:rRNA from 1 species
AGGGUUUGAUUAUGGCUCAGGAUGAACGCUGGCGGCGUGCUUAAUACAUGCAAGUCGAGCGAUCGGCCUCGGGGUGGCAACACUCCGAGGUACGGAGCGGCGAACGGGUGAGUAACACGUGAGGAACCUGCCUCGGAGACGGGGAUAACGUUGGGAAACCAACGCUAAUACCCGAUGACCCCGUAGAAGGACAUCCUUCAGCGGGCAAAAGGUUGGGCAACCUUCUGCUUCGGGAGGGCCUCACGGCCUAUCAGCUUGUUGGCGGGGUAACGGCCCACCAAGGCGAUGACGGGUAGCUGGCGUGAGAGCGCGACCAGCCACACCGGGACUGAGACACGGCCCGGACUCCUACGGGAGGCAGCAGUAGGGAAUCUUGGACAAUGGGCGAAAGCCUGAUCCAGCGACGCCGCGUGGGGGACGAAGGCCCUCGGGUUGUAAACCCCUGUUGUUGGGAAAGAAGCCGGCCUUUAGGUCGGUGACGGUACCCAACGAGGAAGCCCCGGCUAACUACGUGCCAGCAGCCGCGGUAAGACGUAGGGGGCGAGCGUUAUCCGGAUUCACUGGGCGUAAAGGG